UUGCUCAGGCAGCACAUAUGAAAAAUUGGAAUCGAUACAGAGAAGAUUAGCAUGGCCCCUGCGAAAGGAUGACACGCAAUUUCGUGAAGCGUUUCCACAUUUU
rnacentral:snRNA from 1 species